CUCCCUGAGGGGACACGCCCUCUCGUGACAUCAUCUUGCUCCGCACCUCCCAGAGCUGGAGCUUUCCGGAGCCCCAUGACCUAACCAAGACACCGGAUUCGUCGACUGCGAGAGACGAGCUUCGCCCUGUCUGAGCUGGACACCCCAGGCCUCCUCAGGUCCCGGAGUUUCCCACGGCUUAGAACAUUGAACUCUUUAGCCAGCAUUGAUUGGAUCUACUCUAUCUGACACCGGAGAAAGAAUUCCAGGAUGAGUUUUGAUUUCCAUUCCUGAAGGGAGUAACCAAAUCAAAGAGAAGAUCCGAAGAUCCAUAGAUCCCAUGGAAUCCUGGGGGAACCCUGUAAUAAUAGAAAAUUUAGAAUGGAGGUUUCGGCUGCAAAAAAAAUCCCAUACUUAACAAAGGUCAACUGAGGCACUACUGAUGUACCAGUGAGCAAUCUUCCUAGCAGAAAAGCUCCUUCCCAAAUGAAGGCAUGGCAAGCUGAGCAGUGCAUCCCAGUGAAGAGAUUAAUCGGCCAGUUGUUGCCUCACAAACAAUCUUUCUUAAUGGAUGAUGCCCCCCAAAAGUGGCACAGAUUUGAUAGGUGUGGCUUCUAAAGAUGUGUCUGUAGGAAUUGCACCCAAGACCUCUAUAAUGCUGAUCUUGGAUAGCUUUGUUAUCACAGUCCACACAAUGAUCCUGCUGAACGACUCAAAGUCCUUGUGCAUGGGCAUGGAAAGAAAAGCAGUCAGAAUGUAG
rnacentral:lncRNA from 1 species